CCUACGGGGGGCAGCAGUCGAGAAUCAUUCUCAAUGGGGGAAACCCUGAUGGUGCGACGCCGCGUGGGGGAAUGAAGGUCUUCGGAUUGUAAACUCCUGUUAUGUGGGAGCAAAUUCAAAAGAUAGUACCACAAGAGGAAGAGACGGCUAACUCUGUGCCAGUAGCCGCGGUAAUACAGCGGGCUGAAGGGUUGUUCGGAAUCACUGGGCGUAAAGCGUUCGUAAGCUGUUUGGUAAAUCGGGUGGGAAAGGCGCGGGCUGAACCCGCGGAGAGCACAGGAUACUGGCAGACUAGAGUAAUGGAGAGGGAACCGGAAUGCGCGGGGUAGCAGUGAAAUGCGUAGAUAUCGAGAAGAACACUCGUGGCGAAGGCAGGUUCCUGGACGUUAACUGACGCUGAGGCACGAAGGCCAGGGGAGCGAAAGGGAUUAGAUACCCGGGUAGUC
rnacentral:rRNA from 1 species